UACAUGGGGUGCAAACGUUGCUCGGAAUUAUUGGGCGUAAAGCGCGCGUAGGCGGUUAUCUAAGUCGGAUGUGAAGCCCUCGGCUUAAACUGAGGAAGUGCACCCGAAACUGGAUAGCUAGAGUACGAAAAGAGGGUCGCGGAAUUCCCGGUGUAGAGGUGAAAUUCGUAGAUAUCGGGGAGGAACACCGGGUGGCGAAGGCGGCGACCCUGGGGUCGAGACUGACGCUGAGGCGCGAAACGUGGGGAGCAAAACAGG
rnacentral:rRNA from 1 species